UACCACUUUAAUUUGAUGGAUAAAAUAAGCAAACAAUAUAAUCAAAUAUGGAUUUAAAAUUGACACUUAAAACUCCAGUUUAAAAUUUUAAACAAAAUAGGAAAAUAUAUUUUAGUUAAUUGUUAAAUGUCUAGGUAAAUUAGGUGCCAGCAACCGCGGUCAAACCUAAUAUACUUGUUUAUAUGUUUAUAUUAAGUAUCUUAAUUAUUUUAAUUAAAAUUAAUAUAUGUAGUGAAAUACUAUGUUAUUUAUAAACUAUUUAUGGCUUAUAUUUAUAAACCUACAGCAAAAACUAGGAUUAGAGACCCUACUAUUAUAGGCUCAUGAUUUACUUAAUAAGAACUAAAACUUCACAGCUCAAACUUAAAAAUUAUGGCGGCUUAACAAAACACUUAGGGGAACUUACCAUAUAAUUGAUAACCACCAAGCAGUAUACCACUUACUAUAUAAAAUUUGUAUACCGUUGUCUUCAUGGCCCUUUUGAAAAGAUUCAUAUAUAUACACGUACUUAAACCUUAUAAAUAGACAAAUCAAGGUGCAGUAGAUUAGUAAGAAUUAAGGUGAGUUACAGUAAUGAAUUAUAACGGAAAUAAUAAUGAAAGAAUUAUAAAAGAUGGACUUAAAAGUAAUAAUAAUAAAUUUAAACAUAAAUUAUUAAUAUGUAUUGUUAAGUGUA
rnacentral:rRNA from 1 species